ACUACUUUUUGUCAAAAGAGUAUCUGUUCUUAUCAGUUUAAUCUCUGAUACAUUCCCCAUCGGGGAAUCUAGAUUAAAUUGAUUUUUGAAAGUUGGUCAUGGAAUAAGAGCUUGCUCUGUCCUGACCGCGGAUCGGCUCGGUAUUGCAGUACCUCCGAGAUCGGUCCAUCCCCU
rfam:Branchiostoma floridae genomic scaffold BRAFLscaffold_272, whole genome shotgun sequence.